rnacentral:rRNA from 1 species
AGAGAGAGACAUGCGCGCAUAUCAAUAAGCGGAGGAAAAGAAACUAACAAGGAUUCCCCUAGUAACGGCGAGUGAAGCGGGAAGAGCUCAAAUUUGAAAUCUUAAAGGGUUUCCCUUUACGAAUUGUAGUUUAAAGAAGUGUUUUCUGUUGAGGUUUUGGUAAAAGUUCUUUGGAAUAGGACAUCAUAGAGGGUGAGAAUCCCGUAUUUUGACCUUUACUUUCAACUUUGUGAUACACUUUCAAAGAGUCGGAUUGUUUGGGAAUGCAGUCCAAAAUGGGUGGUAAAUUUCAUCUAAAGCUAAAUAUUGGCGAGAGACCGAUAGCGAACAAGUACCGUGAGGGAAAGAUGAAAAGAACUUUGAAAAGAGAGUUAAACAGUACGUGAAAUUGUCAAAAGGGAAGCGUUUGACACCAGUGUUGUUUUUCUGAAAAUCAAUUAAAGAACUGUUUAUGCUAAGCUGUUUAGACUUUAUCAGCUAACUGUUUAGUUUUGAGCUUUUCUUUAAUGCACUUUUCAGUUAACAAGUCAACAUCAAUUUCUUUUGCUGUAAAAAAGCUUGAGGAAGGUGGCUUGAGAUUCGUCUUAAGUGUUUAUAGCCUCUUGCCUAUGCAGUCGGAGAGAUUGAGGUCUGCAGCGUAGAUCCUUCGGGGCUAAAUGCAUUUGUGCUAAGUUAUAGCAUUUUAUAGACAACUUGUUGACUAUGAUUUGUCUUGUAGCUUACUCGCUUAUGUUAUUUUACCUACGCUUAGGAUGUUGACGCAUGAGAUAUACGC